rnacentral:rRNA from 1 species
UACGUAGGCAGCGAGCGUUGUUCGGAGUUACUGGGCGUAAAGCGUGCGUAGGCGGUGUCCUAAGUCUGUUGUGAAAUCUCCCGGCUCAACUGGGAGGGUGCGGCGGAAACUGGGAUGCUGGAGUACGGGAGAGGUAAGCGGAAUUCCUGGUGUAGCGGUGAAAUGCGUAGAUAUCAGGAGGAACACCUGCGGUGUAGACGGCUUACUGGACCGUAACUGACGCUGAGGCACGAAAGCGUGGGUAGCAAGCAGG